GUUAAAAGUGAAUUUCUCUAAGGCAUGCUUUUUUCACUCUUUCAGGAAGCAUCUACUGCAAAAAUUCAAAUCACGCCAAUCUGUUAAAGGGAAUUGCAAAACCGCCAGACAGGUGUUUGUUUAAAGAAAAGGUUUAGCUAUGUUUUUUUUGUUGCCUUGCUUUUCCUGUCAGCUAAUUUCCCUGACGUCUGUGUGGGGUCUCUGUCUCUGCCGUUGAAGGCUGCCAGCUGUCAUUGAUUCGCAUGGGGGGAUUGGGUAUUGCUCUUUGAAAGGGUAUAGGCACUGGUAGUUCUGGAAGUGGUCCUCCAUUGACAGCAUUGACUUGGAUUGGAUGCAAUUAUGUUGAGUGCAUGUUUAGCUUCUUUUUUUUUGUGUGGCAGGCAGGAUGGCUGCCGUGGCAGCAGCUGUUGUCGCACGACUUUCCUUAACUUCUUCGGCAGAGGGCACCACCACUCCUGCACCACUCCUGCACCACUCCGAGACCAACAAUCAAUUCGACAGCAGCGGCGACGACAUUUGCGCAGGCGCGCAGUCGCGCAGGCGCCUUUUGUUGCGCUUUAACUUCCGGAAAUCACGUUGUAAUGUUGGGAUUUUUCUUGGCUUUGGCUUUUGUUAAGGAAUGGAAUGGGUCAGAGGCAGAGCGAAAAGAAAUGUGCACGCGAGCAAAAUUACAAAAUGCUCAACAGUUAACAUAAAAUUUGUUUGCUUAAAGUUGUUAAAUUUUUUCAAUUAUGCAAAAAUAAAAUUUUAACACAA